AGAUGCCUAGCAGGUGUGAGAGCACGACCUGCGCCACUGGCACUGAGACACUGGCCAGACACCUACGGGUGGCUGCAGUCGAGGAUCUUCGGCAAUGGGCGCAAGCCUGACCGAGCGACGCCGCGUGUGCGAUGAAGGCCUUCGGGUUGUAAAGCACUGUCGAGGGGGAGGAAGCCGCAAGGUUGACCUAUCCCUGGAGGAAGGACGGGCUAAGUUCGUGCCAGCAGCCGCGGUAAGACG
rnacentral:rRNA from 1 species